UUUCCUGUGGCUCAGUUGGUAGAGCAUUGCGCUAACAACGCAAAAGUCGUGUUUUCAAUCCCAGGGAAA